rnacentral:rRNA from 1 species
CCUACGGGAGGCAGCAGUAGGGAAUUUUUCACAAUGGGCGAAAGCCUGAAGGAGCAAUGCCGCGUGAAUGAUGAAGGUCUUAUAGAUUGUAAGAUUCGUUUAUUUGGGAAGAAGAACUAAGGUAGGAAAUGACUUUAGUCUGACUGUACCAUUUGAAUAAGUAUCGGCUAACUGUGUGCAAGCCGCCGCGGUAAUACAUAGGAUGCAAGCUUUAUCCGGAUUUACUGGGCGUAAAACGAGAGCAGGCGGGUUAACAAGUUUGGUAUGAAAGGAUUUUGCUUAACGAAAGUUUGUAUCAAAAACUGUUAAUAUAGAGUGUAGUAGAGAGUUCUGGAAUUCAAGGGG